GGCGAACGCUGGCGGCGUGCCUAAUACAUGCAAGUAGAACGCUGAAGAGAGGAGCUUGCUCUUCUUGGAUGAGUUGCGAACGGGUGAGUAACGCGUAGGUAACCUGCCUUGUAGCGGGGGAUAACUAUUGGAAACGAUAGCUAAUACCGCAUAACAAUGGAUGACACAUGUCAUUUAUUUGAAAGGGGCAAUUGCUCCACUACAAGAUGGACCUGCGUUGUAUUAGCUAGUAGGUGAGGUAAUGGCUCACCUAGGCGACGAUACAUAGCCGACCUGAGAGGGUGAUCGGCCACACUGGGACUGAGACACGGCCCAGACUCCUACGGGAGGCAGCAGUAGGGAAUCUUCGGCAAUAGGGGCAACCCUGACCGAGCAACGCCGCGUGAGUGAAGAAGGUUUUCGGAUCGUAAAGCUCUGUUGUAAGUCAAGAACGGGUGUGAGAGUGGAAAGUUCACACUGUGACGGUAGCUUACCAGAAAGGGACGGCUAACUACGUG
rnacentral:rRNA from 1 species